rnacentral:misc_RNA from 1 species
GGUCAAGUUACAUAAAAAACUCUAGCUAAAAUAUUUAGCCACUCAUAUUAACAAAAACAAAAUCAAACUCUAUAAAAUCUAAAUCAAAUAUCAUCAAACAAAAAUGGGUUUCUAUCAAAAGAAAAAGCAGAGAAAAGGAGAAACUCUAGAUGGUGGAAUUCCCCCUUCAAAAGCCAAAUCUUCAAGAAAUCCACUCCAAAGCUUGAUUUUCUCCUCCAAGAUGGAUUAUAGAGAGUAUUUGGGGCUUUUGGGGGGUGAAAAAUGGUGUGUCCA